rnacentral:rRNA from 1 species
UACGGAGGGUGCGAGCGUUGUCCGGAAUCACUGGGCGUAAAGGGCGCGUAGGCGGCAUGCCAAGCGUGUGGUGAAAGCCCGGGGCUCAACCCCGGGUCGGCCGUGCGGACUGGCGUGCUCGAGCACUGUAGGGGCGGGUGGAAUUCCGGGUGUAGCGGUGGAAUGCGUAGAGAUCCGGGAGAACACCGGUGGCGAAGGCGGCCCGCUGGGCAGGAAGGCUCGCAAGAGCCGGCUGACGCUGAGGCGCGACAGCGUGGGGAGCAAACAGG